GACGAACGCUGGCGGCGUGCCUAAUACAUGCAAGUUGAGCGCUGAAGGUUGGUACUUGUACCAACUGGAUGAGCAGCGAACGGGUGAGUAACGCGUGGGGAAUCUGCCUUUGAGCGGGGGACAACAUUUGGAAACGAAUGCUAAUACCGCAUAAAAACUUUAAACACAAGUUUUAAGUUUGAAAGAUGCAAUUGCAUCACUCAAAGAUGAUCCCGCGUUGUAUUAGCUAGUUGGUGAGGUAAAGGCUCACCAAGGCGAUGAUACAUAGCCGACCUGAGAGGGGGAUCGGCCACAUUGGGACUGAGACACGGCCCAAACUCCUACGGGGGGCAGCAGUAGGGAAUCUUCGGCAAUGGACGGAAGUCUGACCGGGCAACGCCGCGUGAGUGAAGAAGGUUUUCGGAUCGUAAAACUCUGUUGGUAGAGAAGAACGUUGGUGAGAGUGGAAAGCUCAUCAAGUGACGGUAACUACCCAGAAAGGGACGGCUAACUACGUG
rnacentral:rRNA from 1 species